rnacentral:rRNA from 1 species
UACGGAGGGGGCUAGCGUUGUUCGGAAUUACUGGGCGUAAAGCGCACGUAGGCGGCUUUGUAAGUUAGAGGUGAAAGCCCGGGGCUCAACUCCGGAAUUGCCUUUAAGACUGCAUCGCUAGAAUUGUGGAGAGGUGAGUGGAAUUCCGAGUGUAGAGGUGAAAUUCGUAGAUAUUCGGAAGAACACCAGUGGCGAAGGCGGCGAUCUGGGUCGAUACUGACGCUGAGGUGCGAAAGCGUGGGGAGCAAACAGG